rnacentral:rRNA from 1 species
CUACGGAGGGUCCGAGCGUUAAUCGGAAUUACUGGGCGUAAAGCGCGCGUAGGUGGAUGUAUAAGUCAGAUGUGAAAGCCCUGGGCUCAACCUAGGAACUGCAUUUGAAACUGUACGUCUAGAGUAUGGUAGAGGUGAGUGGAAUUUCAGGUGUAGCGGUGAAAUGCGUAGAGAUCUGAAGGAACAUCAGUGGCGAAGGCGACUCACUGGGCCAUGACUGACACUGAGGUGCGAAAGCGUGGGUAGCAAACAGGAUUAGAAACCCUAGUAGUCC